UACUAGCAAUAAACCUCACCCACUGUUCACACUGUAUUGUUUUCAGUGGAUCAGUUAUUUACAGUGCAACCCAAGAGAGUAAUGGUUUUACUGACUAUUUGCAAUGCUAUUCUCCUACUGCCUUAAUAACGAUGAAUGGUAUUUAACUGCCAGACAUCAGAGAUCUCUUUAUUUUAAUUAGAAAAGUUGCUUUCCCUAUCCUUUUACUUGGAACAAAAUAUAUCCUGGAAGAUUCCUUACACUGGUCCCCUAGCUCUUGAUUUGGAGUGAAUUAAAGGAAACAUAUUGUGAAAGGUGAAUAGCUAGGGAAAAAAAUAAGGUCUAACAUUAAACAAUAUAAAUGUUUCAGCCUUUUCCUCUGUCAAACCUUGGGGCAAAGUCUUUUCAAUGUCAUGCUUUAGUAAAAGUCUUUUUAGCCCGUGUGUGUCUUUCAAAACACGGCAGACAAAAGCUUUUAUUUUAAAAGCAAACAGCUAAGUGAUUUGCUGCACACUUGCCGUGAAUAGUAACGAGUAGAUUUGUGGUGUGUUCCUCUUUCUAAUUAGCACAUUGCUAUAACCUGACUGCUGUUGUUGCUGUAUGGAUGACUACUGUCUUAUUAGAAUGCGUCUAGAGGGUACCACUUGAAGCAAUUCAUGGAACAAGUUUCAAAUAGAUGUUGGAGAAGGGUAACGAACAGAGAGCUGACUGAAGGUCUCAGCAGAGAAAGCAAAGCUGAGCUCAGAACGUAGGUCGCUGAAUACGGUCCACCCCAUGAAAUGGGAGGAUGUAAAGACUGCAAACGAUGCGUUAUAAGAAUAAAAAUAGUGAAGAUCAUUGAAAAAUAUCCUGUUUAGGUAAUUGGUUUGUUUUUUGGCUCAACUUUUCUUAACACUCUAUGGAAAAAAAUAAAAAAAGCAAAUGCAGUAUGUUAUGGGCUGCACAAAAGAAGAAGAGAGAAGAAAGUGGGAGAAUUGGCACAGAGCUGAUGGAUAAACCAACCAUCAUAAAACAUCUGGGAUUAAUCUUCAAAAAUUAUCUAAACCUGCUCCUGCUGAUGUCAUUGCAAAACCUUUGAUUACCUUGAAAGUGAACAGGAAUGGGCCACAACUGAGUGUUUUCCUUUUCAUGCUAGCUUGACUACAAAAUUUUCAGAGUACAUCAGUGGAUUUCACCCUAUGCACUUAGCUAAAUUGCAUGGUGUUUGUCUCUUCACACUGAAUUUCUUGGGACCCAAUGAGCCACUCUACAAUAACAAAACAGGACAAAGCACAAUACAGGGAGGUUCAAUUCCAGCAAUAAAACGAAUUCUAUGAUAUAACCACGGGCAAAACACAGUUUCAUUUGUGAUUACCUGAGCCUUUCCACUCAGUGCAGGGUGGUCUUUCGUGGGAUAUCAGAAAAGGAGACUGUGAAGAUACCCCCUGGAUUUUUAGUGACCUAAAGUUCAGCAUUUGUAUGGCAGAACUCCCAUAUUAUUAUUGAGAAUUUCAAACCACACUUUGAGAUGGGAGGUAACAUAGAGGGAGCAUGCAUUCCUAUAUAAUCAUGUCCUUUCUUUCUUCUGACCACAAUUCAGGAAUGCACCAAUGCUCUUUAAUCUCUCCUGUUGCACCUGCUCCUUCAGUCAUACUUGGAGCUGACUGAACUACUCAUCACAAGCAAUUUAUCAGGUCUGCUGAGGGAAUUUUUUUCAGAAGAGUUCAGUGACUUAGAAGCUGGACAGCAAUUUCUAAAAGUGGUCCAGGCAUUUACGAAUCUAAUUCAGGACCUCAUGACUCUGGUUUUAUAAGUACUUGUAUCACAUUUAUAAACAGGACCUGUACUUUUACCCCAUCUUGUUCUUCACUUCAUGGUGCGCUUGAGUGCAAAGAUGAUUUUUAUUCAUUUGUCUGUUUUUCAUAACUUAUUGACAAUCCAUGCCUUUAAUACCUAUAAAAUUGGAGGGAGUAUUGUGAACUGUUUGUGUAUGGUACGCUCUUGAAGAGUCCCACUUCCAACACCUAUGUUUAAUCACCUAAUUUCUGUGAUAUUUCUUUUAAAAUCCUUUGAAAUAGGACCACAUUCCAGCAGAAAUGACUAGGGUUUGCAUUUUCCAAGUAGAGGAUUGGGAGCCUUUGACAGAAAGAGAGAAACAUUUUAAAAAUGCAGGUGAAAAAAAUGGUAAGAAAAUAUUUUCCUAUAAUCUUUUAAUGUCUUCCUGUUGGUUGGUUUGUUGGAAUCUAGUUUUAAACUAUGUGGGCUUAUUACAGGCCAAGGGAGAAAGGAAGAUAUAAGCCUGAUUUAUUGGCUGUCUUGCAGACUUUACUUUCAAUUUUCUCUUGUCACAUUUCAAGUGAAUAAUUGGCUACCCUAAAUACAGGAUGGCCAGGUAGGCACUUUCAGCAUCUGUACACUUGCUUGUCUAAUAAAGAUUAAGUUCUUGGAUAAAUGUUCUUCUUUGUGUGCUUAUAUCAGUCCAAAAUUUCUACCUAAGGUUUCAUACAUCAUCAACAUCAUCAUCAUAAUCAUAAUUUUUUAAAAGAAAAAUGUAGAAGAAAAAUGACCAAUAGAUAAUUCAAACAUUCCAGAUCCAAAUUUGAUUUCACAAGUCUCUCUGUUACAUCAGUUCUACCAUUUGUGCACUUUGAGGUUUAUCCAUUUUUCUCUUUCCAUCAAUGACCAAGAAAUUUUCCCUCUUCCUUACUACCACCCUGUCAAACAAAUCCUGUGGAGUUCUGUGCAUCCCCAGACUUUCAGUCAUCCCACAGGCUUUCAACUCCUGUUAAAACAAACAAACCAAUUUAUAAAAAUAAAACAAACAAAACCAACAACAAAUUCACAAACACAUGAAAAUAGUAUAUAUAU